rnacentral:rRNA from 1 species
CCUACGGGUGACAGCAGUGAGGAAUAGUGGUCAAUGGGCGCGAGCCUGAACCAGCCAAGUAGCGUGAAGGAUGACUGCCCUACGGGUUGUAAACUUCUUUUAUAAAGGAAUAAAGGGAGGCACGUGUGCAUUUUUGUAUGUACCGUAUGAAUAAGGAUCGGCUAACUCCGUGCCAGCAGCCGCGGUAAUACGGACGGUCCGAGCGUUAUCCGGAUUUAUUGGGUUUAAAGGGAGCGUAGAUGGGUCGUUAAGUCAGUCUUGAAAGUUUGCGGCUCAACCGUAAAAUUGCAGUUGAUACUGGCAGUCUUGCGUACACUUGAGGUAGGCGGAAUUCGUGGUGUAGCGGU